UGAUUCACAUGGAACAGUAAGAUUUAGUGAGGCUCCUAGUGCUGUUCCUGCUGAGCCUUCCCUACCCGACUCCCUGUCCUGCAGUGAUGGGGAUGACCGUACUGCUUCAUGGGUUCAGGAUGUGUCCUCGGCUCCAUCAGUUGGACAUAGUGACCUGCCUCAUGACUCUGAAAACUCCUCUAUGGAAACAGGGGUACUGGCGACUGCUGGUUCCUUACCUCAUCUUCCUGAUGCUGCUGGCUCUGUUCAUCCUCCAGACAGGGUGGGUGAGGAUGUUGUUCGCCGCCUAACUUCACGCUUUGGGAGGGUUAUUAAACCAGUUUGUCGCCUGAUAGAGUCCAUGGCCGUCAUUGAGGCGCUUUAUGAUAAGGAUAAUGUUCAAACUGUUAUUGACGUGUGAGUUUCCAAAUUCUCAUGUGAUUCCUGCCAUUGGCUAGGAUUGUCUUUGUCUUGGUUUGCAUAAGCUUCAGUACCAUUUAUGUGUUUACUCUGUAUGGGGGGGUGUAAAAGGCACCUCUUGUUGUCCAUGGAAUACUGUGAGAUUUUGCUGGGCGUCGAGCGAUCUCUAGUCUCCUGACCCUAUUGUAGGGUAGCUGUUUGGCUGAUGUGUUACAUUGUUGCAAAAAAAAAAAUAAAUAAAAUUGUACUGCUACUAAGUGUCUUUAUCACUGUUUUUUAUUUUGUGUAAUUCUAGGGGGGUGAAUGUAACCUGGUUGUUGUUAUAAUUACACAAAAUGUCUUUUUUUGUUGUUGUUUGUAUUGUUCUCUACCUGACCGAAAAGCUGUCAUUGUUUUGAAUGUGUUACUUUAAGAACAGUAGCCCCUCCUUUUUAUUUCUUCUUCUAUGGUUUUGUCUUUAAAAUGUUUGCGUCCCUUAGGCCCUCCCCUUUUGUCAUGUUGUCCUGCGGGAGAGGACUUGGAGCGGGCAGCUUGUAACUAUUGUUUUUCUGUUGGAUAUUUUCGUCAGAAUAAAUCUUUGAAAGCCAAACAGAGUCACGGCCUGACUAACAUCUAAUAACCAGCACAACGCAGAAGGGAUCCGGUUACAG